AUGCGCAAAUUGGACCUGUAUAAAGAGCGACACAUUUCCGCUGUUUGUGUGUGUGCGCUUUGUGAAGGACGCAGCCUGCAGUUUGACGUCUUUUUCUUCCUUUUAUUGUACUUGUGCGUCUCACUGAAAAGGGAAAUAAGUUCUUACGGUGUCUACUUGAAUGUCAACGUAUUAAACAUUUUUGGAAACAUCAGUUAAGGAGCAAAAGACCAUCAUUUCAGUGGGGUAGCAACAAACACGGCUAACUGACCGACUCAGAAUCAUAAAUAGAUUUCCUCACAGAAUACACAUUUUCUUGUCCAGUAUUAGAGGUGUAUUAGAGGCUAAUU
ensembl:lncRNA